rnacentral:lncRNA from 1 species
AUUCGCCUCCAUGGCCCACUCGCCGGUGGCUGUCCAAGUGCCUGGGAUGCAGUUUAUUUUAGAGAAUUAUGAAGAUUGAUGGGAAAAAUGAUUUUUCCAGAAAUACAAAGAAAAUUACUUUAUCCACAAUUAUUUUCUCCCUCUGAGGAGAGACGUGAAGUAGAAGCCCAGCUACCUGUUCUAUCACUUAAGAUUUCCAGCAUUCCUGACUUUCAAACAAAGAAAUUGCUGUUGCCACUAGUUUAAAAUAGAAAAGAAACUUGGAGUGAAGAAAGAAAACCCAGGAUUUCGUCCAGUUCAAACUCUUCCUUAUGAAUUAGUUAUUCAAACUCAUAUUGUUGAUAUUUCUUAAUAUUGUGGUAACGAACAUUUUUUGCCACGUUACACCAAAUGUUGAGGGUAUGAAGUUUUUUGUACUUAAUUUGUGCUUACUUCUUUAGUGUGUAACUAGAGGAAUUUUCCAUACCAGUAGCUGAACUCUUGAAAAUAUUUAAAGUACAACUUAAAAAAAAACCAAUAAACCUGUU